UACGGAGGGGGCUAGCGUUGUUCGGAAUUACUGGGCGUAAAGCGCGCGUAGGCGGUUUUCUAAGUCAGAGGUGAAAGCCCGGAGCUCAACUCCGGAAUUGCCUUUGAGACUGGGAGACUUGAAUCCAGGAGAGGUGAGUGGAAUUCCGAGUGUAGAGGUGAAAUUCGUAGAUAUUCGGAAGAACACCAGUGGCGAAGGCGGCUCACUGGACUGGUAUUGACGCUGAGGUGCGAAAGCGUGGGGAGCAAACAGG
rnacentral:rRNA from 1 species